CCUACGGGAGGCAGCAGUAGGGAAUAUUGGGCAAUGGAGGCAACUCUGACCCAGCCAUGCCGCGUGAACGAAGAAGGCGCUAUGCGUCGUAAAGUUCUUUUAGAGGGGGCGAAAACACUUGAUUCAUCAAGUACUGACGGUACCUUCGGAAUAAGCACCGGCUAACUCUGUGCCAGCAGCCGCGGUAAUACAGAGGGUGCAAGCGUUAUCCGGAAUCACUGGGUUUAAAGGGUGCGUAGGCGGGAUUAUAAGUCAGAGGUGAAAUCUCGUCGCUUAACGACGGAAUUGCCUUUGAUACUGUUUUUCUUGAAAUUUGUUGAGGUUGGCGGAAUGAGACAUGUAGCGGUGAAAUGCUUAGAUAUGUCUUAGAACACCGAUUGCGAAGGCAGCUGACUGGACAAUAUUUGACGCUGAGGCACGAAAGCGUGGGGAUCAAACAGGAUUAGAUACCCUGGUAGUCCACGCCCUAAACGAUGUUUACUUGCUGUUUGUCUUUCGGGAUGAGUGGCGAAGCGAAAGCGAUAAGUAAACCACCUGGGGAGUACGCCCGCAGGUGAAACGUCAAAGGAAGUUAGACGG
rnacentral:rRNA from 1 species